rnacentral:sRNA from 1 species
AUUUUUUCAAUCUUUAGUGUUAAAUUAUCCACCAGGUAAAAUGAAAAGUAGAAGAUCAUUUUAACUUUUUCUUUCAAAAAAAAAUCAUUUUAACUUCUGUUGUUGAAAUUGUGAAAGGCAGUUGCACCACAAGUCCACAACCAUUGGUUAGAGAUACCAUACUACAACAUAUUGAUGCCUUCAUGUAGCUACAUAUAAAACAAUAUCAUGUCAAAGAUGAUACAUCUUCAAAAAAAAAAAAAAACGAUUAUAAUGAAUGAGAAAUAUUUUUUUAAAUGUAAAUAGUAGAUUAAGAAAAACAUUAUUUACAAAAGUAAAAUGGGUGUAU